UUUUAAUCCAUUACUUAUUUUCUCUUUUCAGUUUUUUUUUCAACUUGAAUGUAAGCCCUAUUCAGUCCUCUCUGAGUCUGACCACAGCAUGCCCCCUCGUGCUCUAGAGCCAAGUAGUUCUCAUGUUUUUGUCCCUACCGCCUCCAAACCUGUGAGUUUAGCAACUCAAAAGGAGGGGGAAAGUCUAAAUUCUCUCGGUCAGGAUCUGAAAGGACUGGUUUCUUUUCACCAUUGACCCCUUUCUGACGGAGGAUGAGGAUAUUGCUUUUUGCUUCCGGGGCGCACAUAUGAAGCCAAGAAGGCAUUCUGUGGCACAAUUUGAGCCUUAAAUCAAUAUAGGGAAAUUGAUCAGGAUCUUCCUGUUCAGGAGCGGUGAAGAUGUUAGCCAGAUGGGCCAGACGAGACCCUCACGUAGGGAAUCUCUCAGUUGACCAAGCUAGGCAAAACUUGGGCCAUUCUAACUCACAAAAGGUUCUAAGUUUUGGAGUUUUAUCUUCAUGCCAUAAUUUCCAGUAAAACCUUUCUUAAAAUUCUUAAGCGUGCAUUCCAAAACAGGAUGAGAUGUUUCUGUCUCCACGGUUGGCUGAUCAGAGUGUUGGUUUGUGUGUGUGGGUACCCUUGUAUGGAGACGCAAGACAAAGGUGGGGGAUCGCUUGCCUGCCUGGCUGCGGGCUUCUUGGCCAUUUUAAGGUCUGUUCAGGCUAAGGUGGGCUGUGUUGUAAGCUCACUGUUGUGUCUUUGUUAAACAUGACCACAGAACUGAAAGACUGACUACACACAAGUUCCGGGAAGACUCUUUAAGCCCAAGCGCUUCCUCCCUCUGCCUUGUUCCGCAGCUCAUUCCACACACUCUGCUAUCCAAAACUCUUUCACUCAUACAUUUAUUCGGAAGUUAUCAGAUUCCCUCCCAGUGACCCCCUAACUAACCAAAACAAAUUAAAGAAGCUACCUCCCCAAGUGGCAAAGCACAAGGGGUGAUUGGGCCCCUGCACUGUUUUUGCCCAAAGUUCACAAAAUGAGCUAAAACAAAUGGGAGGAGAUAUCUUUCCAAAUGGGAAAGAACAAGGAGUGAUCAGGCUCCUGUGCUGUAUUUGCCCAAAAUUACAAAAUACAAAUUCACAAGGUGAAACUGAAAGUGAAUGACUAGGGGAUUUCCCAGGGUUUCUCACCCAGCAAACGAAAGAAACAGACGACACACCAAGAGCAGCAGCCCUCCUGUCAUCUUCCAUCUCAGGUCUAACUAAAUUGUCAAGCAUGGAUUCAAACUUGAGAUCUUCCUGGCUCAGCCUCUGAGUAGCACAAGCACGACCAGCCAAAAAGCGAUUGUGGAGAUUCAGUGGGAUACUAAAGAUGAUAUCCACUUCCAUGUCUGCAACCAUCACCCCAUGGAAGAAGUGUCUCAGCCUGACACAUUACUUCUCUACUCUAGUGGCACUGCUUCAUAUGCCUGCUAAACAUUCCUAAUUGCAUAAAGGCUGCCAUCAAAACACUCAAGUCUUUAUUAAGGGUCUGUAAGCAACCAACAGUGUUAAUCUGGAAUGAGACAUAUCUUUUCAGAGCUUCAGUUUUUCUUUCUAUAACAAAAGGUAGAAGUAGAACAGAUACAUUUUAGGAUUGAGGAGGAACUUUAGAUGUAGUUAUUGACAGAACCUCUUUAUUCUAUCUAAGUCCUAUUGUUAUAACUUACAUUGUUUAAUACAGUUUAAAUUUAUGUUAAUAAAAAUAUAUAUAAAAUUUAAAAUUGCCUUCUUUAGUCUCAUGAGCCACAUGUAAAUUUCAUUUGCCACAUGGGACAGUGGCUACUAUAAUGGACAAUGUCUGCAUUGAUGUGGAACAUUUCCUUCAUCAUUCAGUGUUCUGUUGGAUAGCUGUAAAUUAACCAAUUAUCAUAUCCAAAGCCAAAAUGUCUACAGACACUGUGUCUAAGACUCCCAUCCACUCGUUUUCAUGUUUCCUGGGUCUCAAAUGACAUCAGUGUGGUAGACUUCAUUGUGUCUUUCUCAAAUUCAUGUGGAAACCUGUCUUAAUCCUUUCCCGUGACUGAGGCACAGUACCUGGCACUCAUAACUUGGGGGAGGACAGGUCUAUUUGGCUCAUGGUCACAGUCCAUGCUUGGCUGGCUCCAGGGCAGACUGGCCUGGCAGAGGAGUGCAGUGGAGGAAAAGCUGCUCUUAGCAUGGCAGCCAGGAUGCAGAAAGAGAGGGAAGGAGCCACAUGGUGCAGAGGAAACAGUGAGAAGAGAAGCAGCUGUAAGCUGGGAACGGGCUUCACUGGAAAUCAACCCUGAUGGCACCUUGACCUUGAACUUCUGACCUCUGGAACUGUGAGAAAAUAAAUUUCUGUUGUUUAAGUCACCAAACCUGUGGUUUGUUACAGCCAUCUGAGCACAUACAACUACUAUUUAAGAAACCCAAACUUGAAACUCAGGUAUGAAAAAUAGGGUCACCCCUUCCCAUCCAUGCCUUCCUAACCACUUCUAACACACCUUCUCUUUUAAAUACACCUCAAAGGUCUCCUUCCUUUCUAUUUCCAGUAUUAUUGUCACAUCUACUCAUAUUUGAGAUAGUGAGUUAACAUUUUCCUACUACCAGAGUCAAUUUAUAAUCUCACCAGUGGGUUGUUUUUAUUUAUGUUGUUCUCUGCUACAUAUCUUCCAAAGUUCUGGAUUAACUCUUGCACAAAGUCCAAUUACCCUCCAAUUCAGAGUCUGGCUACCAUCUACCCUUCAUGACUCCCAACUCAAAAAACUGUGUAUAUUUUGAACAAACAUCUCCUGACCACCACCACCCUCAACAGCCACUGAACUUGCUCACUGUCCCAGAAUGUAAAGUGAAUCCACUGUGAUCAUUCCAACUCCUCAUCAUUCAUCAAGUCUCCUCUGCAGGCCACAGUUCACUAUCCCUACUAGCAGUAGCAAGUGUCAUGUGGAAAUUACAAUAAAAAUGACAACUUUUUGACUGCUUACUACAAGCCAGCAACUGAAGCCAGAACUUCAAUCAUCUUACUGAUUUUUUUCACCAAAACCCUAUGCACUCAAUAACACUGUUGCCAGUUUUCAAGUGGGAAAGCCGAGGUCCCUAUUGCUCAGAGUAAGGCCAGUCCUAUUGUGUUUCUCCCUGCCACAUUCCAUCCUUGACAUUCCUUUGGUGCUUGGUGCUGGAAUAUCUAUCCUUUCAAGUGUAGAUGCUGUUCCCCUCCCAGUCUGGAGGCUCUUGAAGGUAAGUCCUGUGUCUUACUUCAUUUGGUCAUUGAAAACUGUACCAGUUCUCACUUUUCUGUUUCUUUGUGACUUAAGCUUCUGAUCCCUACCCUUAGUUGGUAGCAGUUCCCAUGCCUUGGUCUUUGGCUCUCUGUUCUUCUCCUGCUAUACACUUGGUAUAGUAACUCCAUUACACCUGCAUGGUUGAACACUUCCAGGGAUGUCAACUCUCACUUGGGGAGGAUGAUACAGCUCUGAGAUAAGCUGCUGACCAGCCAGGAACUGGGAGAAUGAGCACCCCUGUCUUAAAUGUGGACCUGUGUAAUCCAGUUGACUCUUAGCUACUUGCCUAAAAGAUCGUUC